GAAAUGCCUCCAUGAGAUCCAGCUGUAAGGCAUUUUCUCAAUUAGUGAUAAAUGGGCGAGGGCCCAGCUGAUGGUGGGUGGUGCCAUCCCUGGGCUGGCGAUCCUG
ensembl:miRNA